CAUGUAAGUUAGCCGCCUGGGGAGGACAUCUUCCCACCCCCGUCGAAUCUUCCGACGAGCAGAACUGGAGACCCUGGGCUGGACUGCCCAGCCAGGGCCUCUGAACUCCUGAGCCACAGAGUCUUUGAGAUCAUACGUGGCGACUGUUAUUUUAAGCCACGAAGUCUUGAGCGAGUUGUAGCACAGUCAUAAGUGCUUAAAAGAACAGCCAAGGCAGGGACAGGACAGAUGCAACAUGACAACGGUGCAGGAUAAUCUUUCCAAUUAAAGUGCACCCUUGUUUCUAUGGUCUACAAGACUUCACACUGAUGCAGGAGGUCCCAACGAGAUCUGACUGCCAGCUCAGCAUACUCCAGCCGCAUCGCCUCCUACUUACUUCCCAGUUAUCUCCCCUGCAAGAACGUUUAUGAUCCCACUUUACAGUCCGCCUGGCACUCUCUGCCCCCAGAGCUUCACAUAGGUGAAUGCUUCUUGGUGGUCAACACUCAGCUCAAAUGUCACUUUGGAGAGAUUUUCUUGUCACCAAUCCCAAGGAGGCUCCUCUCCCCACACCUCCUGUCCCCACUGAUACCCUGUAGCUGCAGGAUAUCACACAGGUGAUGCUCUUCACAGCACCGGCCACGCUCUGAACUUACCGCACAUACUCCUGCCUAGACUUGGUUACUCUCAUUUCCCCAACAGACACAAGUUUCACAGAAGUACCUUGUUUGUCUUAUUUUCUCCUGUAUCCCUGGAAGAUCAAAAUGCGCUUGCUGUGUUUACACGCUCAACAAUAUUUGUAAAGAGAAGAAUGGAGAUUGGGAAGGACGAAGGGAGGAAGGGAAGGAAAGAAGGUUAAAGAAUGAGCUACAUCUUUGAAAUCUUUUAGUGAAAACAGUAGCGCCUCUUUGAAUUACCAUACAUCGAAUAAGCACCUACUUUGCACAGACAAGUCUUGUGUAAGCUACUGAGGAUGGAAACUAGCCACACAGCCUUGUGCCUCAAGGGGAACUUGACUUUGAAUUAAUUUAUCAGAAUCCCUUCCAAUGACUUGGAAGUCAAGAGUCAAGGAAGGAAAGAAGUCUAAAAGGGAAGCACAGAGGUAUGGGGGCGGUGGGCAGGGUUUGGGGGUCUCCAAGCCAGCUUGCCAGGAGUUGAGAAAAGUACUGAAAGAAAAGUCCAGAAAGAGUUCUGGCCAAAUUUGCAAAUGAUUUGCCAAUUUUCUGUAGAACCAAUCAGAAGCACAGAGUUGAACAAAGUAUCUACAGCCUGUGAACAAGCCAAUACUCCACGGGCAUCUUUGGAAAACGAGACUUUUGGGGGGUCUCUGAAGAGGGACUGAAAAAGUCACAUCCUAUGGGACGCCAGUGAGAAUACUCUUCCCCUCCCAGCCCCCGAGAGCCUUGAUUUCCCCCACUGCCAUCUUUAUCCCCAGAUGGAAACAGGUGGUGUUUGGUACAGAAGGAUGCGGCUGGGAAACACAGCAAGCAAAAGGGAUGUUUCUAAUUGGUGUGCCUGGCCCUUCUGAAUGGAACAGAACAAUUUACAUUGUUUGAAUCAUAAAAAAUCUAGAAAAAAUUCCAAUGGGAUCUCUGACCCACGACACCCCAGGCUCUGGGUCAGUAUCACCCACUCAUCUGUUUCUAUAAUCCUUUCCAUUUGUACUGGGAAGGAAAGAUUUGGUCCACUUGGACUUGUUUCCAUCCCGGGCAGGCUGGGCUCAUGUAUCUCGCUCACGGAACUGAUGCUAAGAAAUGCGUCUUUAGGAUCUAAACCGCAGUAUGAGGCUGCAGUACAAGGAGACCCAAAGAAUGAAGUCAUGAAAUGAAUUUCAAGACAGGAAACUUUGGGCCAAAGAUGAAAGGCCUUCUUAACUGUGAAAAUCUAUUAGAAUAUGUAAUGCUCUCUCAAGAAUAGAAGCACCAUUCCUUACGUUAUUUAAGACAAGGGGAACAAAGGGCUGGAGAACGCACACUGAUCCCACUUCAGCCCCUGAGAGGAUAGGAAAAAUGACCUAAUGGUGAUUUCCUAUCGCUAACUGACAUGAUCAUUUGAAUCUGAAAACGUUAGAAAGUAAGGAACCGGACUCUCCUGUAUCAGGAGUGCAAGCGGGCCGGCGCCUUUGGCAUCUCUGCAGCUUUUGGUGGAGGGAAGUGAACGUCUGUGCAAUUCCACGCGCCCCACAGAGGAUGCUGCUGGAUGGGCUCAAACUCGGGCACAGCCAAGGUGUCCGAAGAGGGUCACGGUGUCCCACACCCAGUACCAGAGCCACAAGCCAGCCAGGAGCCUCUUCUAACUGCAGUGAGACCCACAGUGUCUAAGAAACAAGUCUUCCCGGAGAUAAGAAAGCAUAGGGGGAGAUGUUUAGUCUUCUCGUUCAAAAGGCAUCAGCCUAAGCUCCGUUCCUGUCCUGGGGGUAAACCUAAGUGGCAUCUGAUACCAGACGUGCACGCUGCAGCAUUAGCGGAGAGCUCUGCACUGUCCCUGAGUCACGGAAUCUCAGACCUGGAGGGAACCUUGGGGUUUCCCUAAGGCACCUCCUCCCGUGUUAAAGUGAGCUGUGUUCUAGAAAGUGGCGCAAAAUCCAGGAGAGUUCUGGGAACAGCAUCAAAGCGGGGUAUUGGUGCUUACCUGAGGCCAGAACAGUGAUCACUGGAGUUUAGUGAAAGAAAGGGUACUUACCUGAGGCCAGAACAGUGAUCACUGGAGUUUAGUGAAAGAAAGGGCCUCGUCUGGAAGGAGGAAGAAAGAACAGGAAAUACUGGCAGAACCUGAACAAUGUGGUGAAACUAAGGCUUCAGGAAGGGACGAUGCCCAUCACUGACGCGUCCUGAACUGAAGCCCCUGAAUUGGGAUCCCAGGUCCCGCGUUCUCCCGCCACAUGGCACCGCGAGUGCGAAACACCAGGGGAAAGAACUUCAGGACGAGGCUGCAUCCGGCUUUUCACUGAAGCAGGGCUGAGCCAGUAUACCUAUGAUGUAUCAUUUUGGUCUCGGAAUAUAUUUCUGGCAAAUCAAGGAAAAUAAUUUAAUGAGCACCGGAGGUAUGUGGGACCGUGGGCGGGGGGUUGGGCACCAGGGCUCCGGGUAAGCUGCUCCCAAAGAAUCAUUAGCAAAUGAAUGGCUUAUUCAAGUGCCCCGAGGGACUGCAAUGGGGCUGGCCUGGGUCUCCAGAGGAAGCUCCACCAGCUGGUCCCCUGCCUGUCCCCCACCCUCCCCCAGCCUUUCUUCCCUUCUCAAGCCCCGGGGCGCUCCACCAUCCUUAACAUUUGUUCUCCAAAAUCAGGAAGGGUCAGAACACCAUCCCCUGGCAGUUGUUGGCCAACUGACCUCGUCUUAAUGUCACUGGCUUUUAGUCCAGUGUUAUAUCUCACAGAGAUCUGCAUUUGGAACUUAAGGAAAGAAAAUUCUCGUGGAAUUUACACAGAGCAAAUUCACUCUUUGAAGAUGGGACAAUUCUAGGAGUUUCAACAAAUCACACCAUUUUGUAACCAGCACCACAGUUAAGGCAUAGAACUGUUCCAUCACCUCCUAAAAUUCCCUCCUGCCCCUUAGUGGUCAACCCCACCACCACCCACUGGGCCCAUUGCUUUGCCUUUUCUAGAAUGUCAAAAAAUGGAGUCACACGUGUGUAGCCUUUUGAGUUGGGCUUCUUCUGUUUAGCAUAAUGCUUGUGAGAUUUAUCCAUGCUGUUGCGUGUCUCUGUACUGCAUUCCUUUUUCUUGGUGAAUAGAAUUCUAUUGUAUGGAAGGACUAUGCGUGGUUUAUUCAUUCAUCAGUUGAAGGACAUUUGGGUUGUUUCCAGUCUGGGGAACUUUGGAAUCAAGUUACUAUUAGACAUUUGCAUACAGGUUUUUGUGUGAACAUGUUUUUAUUUCUCUUGGGUGAAUGCCCAGGCAUGGAAUUGCUCACCAUAUGGUUAGUUUAUGUUUAACUUAAAAGAAACUGCCAAUGGCUUCCCUGGUGGCGCAGUGGUUGAGAGUCCGCCUGCCGAUGCAGGGGACGCGGGUUCGUGCCCCGCUCCCGGAAGAUCCCACAUGCCGCGGAGCGGCUGGGCCCGUGAGCCAUGGCCGCUGAGCCUGCACGUCUGGAGCCUGUGCUCCGCAACGGGAGAGGCCACAACGGUGAGAGGACCGCGUACCGCAAAAAAAAACACAAAAAACUGCCAAGUUCAUUUCCAAAGUGCCUGUGUAUCAUUGUUGCAUUCCUGCAGUGUCAGUGAGGGUUCUAGUUGCUCCUCCAUCUAGUGUUGUCUUUUAUUAUUAUUGUUUGCCCAUCUAACAGGUAUGUGGUAGUAUCUCAUUGUGGUUUUAUUUUGUAUUUCCCUAAUGACUAAUGUGUGUGUCUGUGUAUUUUAAGACCUUACUUUUCAAAGAGUUUAGGUUCACAGCACAAUUGAGAAGAAGUUAUAGAGAUUUUGCUCCUACCCCCUGCUCCUACCCCCCUUCUAUCAAAAUCCCCCACCAGAGUGGUACAUUUAUUACACUUGAUGAACCUACCAUGAUACACCAUUACCUCCCAAAGUCUGCAGCUUACAUUAGGGUUCACUCCUGGUGGUGUAUAUUCUACAGGUUUGGAGAAAUGCAUAAGGACAUGUAUUCACCAUUAGAUAUCAGAGUAUUUUCACUGCCCUAAAAAUCCUCUGUGCUCUGUCUCCAUAGCUUUGCCUUUUCCAGACUGUCAUGUAAUUGGAAUUAAACAUAUAUAGCCUUUUCGGAUCGGCCUCUUACACUUAGUAAUAUGCAUUUAAAGUUCCUCCAUAUCUUUUUAUGGCUUGAUAACUCAUUUUUUUUUUUUGGUGCUGAAUAAUAUUUCAUUGUCUGGAUGGACCACUGCUUAUGUAUCUGUUGGCUUACUUCACCUACUAAGGACACCUUGGUUGCUUCCAAGUUUUUCUUAAGCUUUUAUUAUGGAAAAUUUCAAACAUAUCAAAAAGUGUUAAUUGACAGAAGACUAGAGUGAACUUACUGUAUCUAUCACCUAGCUUCAAAGAUUAUCAGUGCCUGCCCAAUCUUGUUUCAUCUAUACCCCUAUUCAUUUCUCCCUGGCCCCUGAACAGUUUGAAGCAAAUUCCAGCCAUGAAUCAUUUCUAAAUAUUUCAGUAUCUACCUCCAGAGAUAGGAUUUUUAAAAGCGUAAUCAUAAUAUUACUCUCACUUUUUAAAAUAUGCAAUAAAUCCUUAAUAUAUUAAAAGUUUCAUAGUGUUCACAUUUUUCUGAUAGUCUGAUGCGAUUUUUCGAAUUUGGCUGAGGCGUCUCCCCAGGUUCACAGGUUCUCCUUUGAAAUCUUUCCUUCUUCUUGCACAUGCGCAUUGGAGACACCAGGAUGUGUGACCCGUAGAACUGCCCAUCGUCUGGAUUUAGCCGUUUCAGGCACUGUGGAAUUUUCCGUAGUGUCUUUGACAUGAACCUUGUAUUUUGUGUAAAUGGGCAGUUACACAGUUACAGUUAUUCAGUUACACCUGAAUCCAGAUUAAUUCAUGAGUGUUUGCAAAAUGGUGACUCAAAUCUCAGCAUUCUUCCUUCCUUCAUUAGCUGAAAUACUCCUUAAAAUAUCACCUUCCUCAUUAACUACUUAGUUACCCAGUGCUACACAUUAUAUAGAAAAGGCAACACAGAUGCACGAUUAUUUUCUUUUGUUUACACAUUUUCAAAAUAAUGGGGAUAACUCUCAGAAUAUUCCAAAGGUGAGCAAUUUCUUUAGUUUCAUUCUGAGCUCAUAUGUCAUGUAUUGGUUUGAUAUGAUUUCAAUCCACUUGUUUAUGACUUACGUGAGGAUGUUUUAUUCCACUUGCUUAGGGCAAAGACACACAAAAAUUGUUUUUAGGAUAAAGUUGUUUCGAUAGGAGAAUGAAGUAAGCUGUGUCAGGUGCCAUACCCCCCCCCACUGGUGUUGAUAAGCAUUCAGUAGUUCAGCUAUUGUGUAUUGCUGGGCCCAUCCCACAAGUUUCUGCUUCAGGAGGUUGCCCCCGCUCGCCACAACUAGAGAAAGCCUGUGCACAGCAACGAAGACCCAACGCAGCCAUAAAUAAACAAACAAACAAAC